rnacentral:rRNA from 1 species
AGCGGAGGAAAAAGAAACUAACAAGGAUUCCCUUAGUAACGGCGAGUGAAGCGGGAAUAGCUCAAAUUUGAAAGCUGGCAGCAAUGUCCGCGUUGUAAUCUCGAGAAGUGUUUUCCGUGCUGGACCAUAGAUAUGUUCCUUGGAAUAGGAUGUCAAAGAGGGUGAGAAUCCCGUACAUGCUAUGGACGCCCAGUGCUUUGUGAUACACUUUCGAAGAGUCGAGUUGUUUGGGAAUGCAGCUCAAAAUGGGUGGUAAAUUCCAUCUAAAGCUAAAUAUUGGGGAGAGACCGAUAGCAAACAAGUACCGUGAGGGAAAGAUGAAAAGCACUUUGGAAAGAGAGUUAAACAGUACGUGAAAUUGUCAAAAGGGAAGCGCUUCAAGUCAGAUAUGGCUUUAAAUGUUCAGCCUUUCGGUGUAUUCAUUUUUUGUCAGGCCAGCAUCGAUUUUGAACGUCGGAUAAGGGUAGAAGGAAUGUAGCAUACUUUCGGGUAUGUGUUAUAGCCUUUUACUGGAUACGACGAUCGGGAUCGAGGUUCGCAGCACACCCUUUUUGGGCAGGUCUUCGGACACUUUUGUGCUUAGGAUGCUGGCGUAAUG